CUUUUAUUCCCCUCAACUUCACGAGCACGUCUCCUCCGUCCUCAUCUCCUUCACUGCUCUGGCUUCCAAUUGCAUUUUCUGGGCAACUUCAACUUCCUUUCAUUGAUCCUUCGAGCAGCCCAUCUUCUCCACUCAUUCUCUCUCUCGCUGCUGCCGCCCCACUUCAUUUCCUCGUGGCUUUGCUCAACCCAGUCAACGAAACCAGCAAUUCCUCCAUCUUGUUGACCGAAGCUACCCCAGCAACCGCCACAUGUCCGCAUCCUCAUCUUGCUCGGUCAAUUGCCAACGUCGAAGCCCGUAAGUUCAGAGAAUCUCCACUCCAGCUACCCCAUGUACUACCACCGAAGACCCUUAGCAACGUCCACCGAAGCUCCCUCCUUCGAAGACUUUGCUGCCCGCUUGCGUCUCUUCCAGCUCUGCCACGUUCAGCCCUCGUUCCACGGAGCCUCACGCCUACAUCGCCAGAUCAAGCCCACCAACGGAUGCCAGCAGCUGCUUCCGCCAUCUUCGAUCCUCCUGCCCCACUUGCUGCCUCCAUCUGGCCAUGUGAAUCGCACGAAGCAAGCCGUGGAUUCCAAUGUCUUCGGCCCACCAGCAACCCAGUUGAGUCCAGAGAAUUAAGUCAGCCAAUUUCAGCCCUUGCCGCUCCUUUGCUCGGGCCCAUCAGCCCAGCAAAAUGAAGUCCAAGUUUUAAGCUCAGUCCACUCAAGUCUCAACCCAUCUUCACUUGGAUCCAAGCCUGCAGCAAGCCCAUCUUCAGCCCACACGAUUUCAGCAAUUCAGCCCAAGGAGUCAAGCUACAGCCCAUGUGAAAUUCAGCCUUUGGAGCCCAAGUCGACAAGUGCAGCCCAUCUUUAGUUUUUGGCCCAAGUGAACCUCAAUCUAGCAGCCCAGUUUUUGAGGCCCAAGCCCAUCAACCAAGCCCAAAAGUUCGUGGGCUUGCAAGGCCUUUGGGCCAGGCCCGAGUGAUCGUUGACAUUGCCGAAAAUUCGAAUUUCGGCCGUUGUCGCGCCAUCGCGGUGUCCUGAUCCCUGCUUUUAAUCAAGACCCUAAUGAGGAGCCUGAGGAGGAGGAAUCUGAAGAGGAGAACCCUGAUGUGGAACCAGAUGAGGAGGAAGAUUUUGGAGAAGAAGAUGACCACGAGGAGGAUCCUGAGUACGACCCAGAUGAGGACUGAGAUCCCAUCUUGUUUUGUUAGACCUUGAUUAUAUGUGAAUAAGUGUUAGAUCAGACACCUGUGAAUAGUAUUGCAUUAUAUACUAUGAGGUGCUUGUAUAAAA